UACAGAGGGUGCGAGCGUUUAAUCGGAAUUACUGGGCGUAAAGCGUGCGUAGACGGUUAUUUAAGUCGGGUGUGAAAGCCCCGGGCUCAACCUGGGAAUUGCAUUCGAGACUGAAUAGCUAGGGUACGGUAGAGGGAAGUGGAAUUCCUGGUGUAGCGGUGAAAUGCGCAGAUAUCAGGAGGAAUACCGGUGGCGAAAGCGACUCUCUGGACGGCAACUGACGCUGAGGCACGAAAGCGUGGGGGAGCAAACAGG
rnacentral:rRNA from 1 species